CCUACGGGAGGCAGCAGUGAGGAAUAUUGGUCAAUGGGCGAGAGCCUGAACCAGCCAAGUCGCGUGAGGGAGGACUGCCCUAAGGGUUGUAAACCUCUUUUGUCGGGGAGCAAAAGCCGGACGGGGCCGGCGGUGAGAGGACCCGAAGAAAAAGGAACGGCUAAUCCCGUGGCAGGAGCCGCGGUCAGAAGGAGGAUGCGAGCGUUAGCCGGUUUUAUUGGGGUUCAAGGGUGCGCUGGCGGGUUUUUAAGUCAGCGGUAAAAUCGUGGGGCUCAACCCCAGCCAGCCGUUGAAACUGGGGUUCUAGAGUGUUCGAGAGGUAUGCGGACUGCGUGUUGUAGCGGUGAAAUGCUUAGAUAUCACGCAGAACCCCGAUUGCGAAGGCAGCAUACCGGUGCCCAUCUGACGCUCAGGCACGAAAGCGUGGGUAUCGAACAGGAUUAGAUACCCCUGUAGUC
rnacentral:rRNA from 1 species